CUGCUCACAUUGGCAACAUAUAUACUAAGAGUAGAACUAUAUAGAGAAGAAUAGCAUGUCCCUGUGUAAGGAUGGUAUGCAAAUUUGUGAGGUGUUCCAUGUUUUU
rnacentral:snRNA from 1 species